rnacentral:lncRNA from 1 species
CCAGGUUUGUUUAUUUGCUUGUGAAAUGUCAUCCUCUCUCCCUUCGGCUGCAUCUGUUUUGAAUGUGGAGGUGGCUGAUCAGAUGUGGAGAAGGUUAUCUGGAGGAAAGUUCUAGGUGGGUGUUUUCUGAGAAAAAAAUGUCUUUUUGCCUUUCAGAUAAGCAUUUCAAAAGUGGUGAAAGAGAUGUCAUGGCAAGUAUAAAAGAAGAAAAUAGCUCUGGCAACUGUAAAGAAGGAUGCACUGGUUGGGACCUGACUAUCAGCAAGGAAGCAUCAAAGGAAGAGGGACAGGACGGAGAGGCAGACUGGGAUGGACCUGGGGCCCUGGUCAAGUUCCAAACCUGGGAUCCAGAUCUGCAUGGACCGUGUUCAUGUGGGUUUCCUCCAGGUGCUCCGGUCUCUCCCACAAUCCGAAGACAUGUGGGAACGUUGGCCCUUGUGUGAGCAUGUGCAUGUCUGUGUGUUCCCUGCAAUAGACUGGUGUCCCUUCCAGGGUGUAUCCUGCCUUGUGCUCAUCGCUUGUCAGAUAGAUUCUGGCUCCCCUGCAGCCCUGAACUGGAUGAAGCAGUUAGAAAAUGAACGGAUGGAUUAUUUGUCAAUUUAUUUUAGUUAAAAACAGCAUCCGAGACCUUCGUGUUAUGUUAAAAUGCAUAUGCAUUUGGUGUGUGAAUUAUACAUUCCUCUUACUUUAUAAAUCCUCUUACACCACUGGCAAUAAACAUCUUAACAUUCACAGUGUGGUGUGCAGCCCAGCCAGUGUGAUGUCCAUACCCGGGAACAGGAGUUAACUGCAGCAGAUGUUUAUUCUAGGUAGAUGGACUACUAUGCCUUGAAACUGAAAGGCAAUUGGUGAAAAAUACAUCAAAAAGAUGUCUGGUGAAAAAUCCUCAGGAGCUGAAAGUUGUGUUUUUUAUUUCUCACUACUUUUCAGUGUGGAAUUAACCUCUACUUGCUCUUCUGCAGCCCACACACUGAUGGAGCUCCCCACUCAAACCUCUUGUGUAAUCAUUACAUCAGCCUUUCAAUUUAACAGCACUUUUAAAAUCCUGCCUGUCUCCAAGUGUCAGUGUGAACACAGUG